GAGUUUGAUCCUGGCUCAGGAUGAACGCUGGCGGCGUGCCUAAUACAUGCAAGUCGAGCGGUAAGGCCCUUCGGGGUACACGAGCGGCGGACGGCUGAGUAACACGUAGGAACGUACCCCAAAGUGAGGGAUAAGCACCAGAAAUGGUGUCUAAUACCGCAUGUGCUCUAAGGAGUAAAGCUCCGGCGCUUUGGGAACGGCCUGCGCAUGAUUAGCUAGAUGGUGAGGUAAUGGCUCACCAUGGCGACGAUCAUUAGCUGGUCUGAGAGGAUGAUCAGCCAGACUGGGACUGAGACACGGCCCAGACUCCUACGGGAGGCAGCAGUAGGGAAUUUUCCACAAUGGGCGAAAGCCUGAUGGAGCAACGCCGCGUGCAGGAUGAAUGCCUUCGGGUUGUAAACUGCUUUUAUAUGUGACGAAUAUGACGGUAGCAUAUGAAUAAGGAUCGGCUAACUCCGUGCCAGCAGCCGCGGUCAUACGGAGGAUCCAAGCGUUAUUCGGAAUUACUGGGCGUAAAGAGUUGCGUAGGCGGCAUAGUAAGCAGAUAGUGAAAGCGUGUGGCUCAACCAUACUCACAUUAUCUGAACUGCUAAGCUAGAGGACGAGAGAGGUCACUGGAAUUCCUAGUGUAGGAGUGAAAUCCGUAGAUAUUAGGAGGAACACCAAUGGCGUAGGCAGGUGACUGGCUCGUUCCUGACGCUCAGGCACGAAAGCGUGGGGAGCAAACGGGAUUAGAUACCCCGGUAGUCCACGCCGUAAACGAUGGAUGCUAGCUGUUAGAGGUAUCGACCCCUCUAGUAGCGAAGCUAACGCGUUAAGCAUCCCGCCUGUGGAGUACGGUCGCAAGACUAAAACAUAAAGGAAUUUGACGGGGACCCGCACAAGCGGUGGAGCGUGUUGUUAAAUCGAUGGUAGCGAAGAAUCUUUACCCAGGCUUGACAUCCUUGGAAGCACUGCGAAGCAGCGUGUGCCUUUCGGGAA
rnacentral:rRNA from 1 species